rnacentral:misc_RNA from 1 species
UUUUUUUUUUUUUUUUCAAAAAAACCUACUAGUUACACUUUGUCUUGUCCACUCUGUUUUUAUCCUCAUCCUCGCCGUCCGUUGAAUCAUUGUCGUCAUCAAUUACAUCAUCAUCGGACGGUGGGGAGGGGUCGAGACGAGCAGCGUCCUUGGCCCACUGAAUGAUCUUCUCAACCUCGUCCUCUUCCUCGUCGCUGUCGCCGCCACAAUCUUGACCAAAUCCAGCAACAGCACUAGCGGCAGUGGUAGUGCUAGAUGAUGAAGCUUUGAGAGCAGCAAAUCUGGCCAACAGAUCAUCGGCAUCAGGCGGUGGUUGGCGAUUUGUUGAGGCUGAUGAUUGAUUAGCGCUGGGGUUUGAAGAUGGUCGAG